rnacentral:lncRNA from 1 species
GUCAUUCGUAGAAUAGUUACUAAGUAUCUCUGGUGUCAAGCACUGUACUAUAUGUGAAUCAAUGAAACGUUGUGUCUGAUAAAUUCAUAUAAAAAUAAUACGCCUUGACAGCGUUCACGUGGAAACAAAAACAAAACUAAAAAAGUCAGCAGAUAGACUGCAGGUUUUUUUGUUUUUGUUUUUGUUUUUUUUGCAUGGAUCUCACUAAUUUAUCUUCCUCGUCAGUCACUUGAAAUGAAAAUUUGUUGCGUUCU